rnacentral:rRNA from 1 species
GAGCUUGCUCUUCGAUUCAGCGGCGGACGGGUGAGUAAUGCCUAGGAAUCUGCCUGGUAGUGGGGGACAACGUUUCGAAAGGAACGCUAAUACCGCAUACGUCCUACGGGAGAAAGCAGGGGACCUUCGGGCCUUGCGCUAUCAGAUGAGCCUAGGUCGGAUUAGCUAGUUGGUGAGGUAAUGGCUCACCAAGGCGACGAUCCGUAACUGGUCUGAGAGGAUGAUCAGUCACACUGGAACUGAGACACGGUCCAGACUCCUACGGGAGGCAGCAGUGGGGAAUAUUGGACAAUGGGCGAAAGCCUGAUCCAGCCAUGCCGCGUGUGUGAAGAAGGUCUUCGGAUUGUAAAGCACUUUAAGUUGGGAGGAAGGGCAGUAAGAUAAUACCUUGCUGUUUUGACGUUACCGACAGAAUAAGCACCGGCUAACUCUGUGCCAGCAGCCGCGGUAAUACAGAGGGUGCAAGCGUUAAUCGGAAUUACUGGGCGUAAAGCGCGCGUAGGUGGUUUGUUAAGUUGGAUGUGAAAGCCCCGGGCUCAACCUGGGAACUGCAUC